rnacentral:rRNA from 1 species
AGGGUUCGAUCAUGGCUCAGGACGAACGCUGGCGGCGUGCCUAACACAUGCAAGUCGAACGAGAACCCGGAGCUUGCUCCGGGGGACAGUGGCGAACGGGUGAGUAACACGUGAGGAACCUGCCCUAGAGACCGGGACAACCAUUGGAAACGAUGGCUAAUACCGGAUGCCUUCACAUGGUCGCAUGACCGAGUGAAGAAAUGCUCAGGCGCUCUAGGAGGGUCUCGCGACCUAUCAGCUAGUUGGUGAGGUAAUGGCUCACCAAGGCAUCGACGGGUAGCUGGUCUGAGAGGACGAUCAGCCACACUGGGACUGAGACACGGCCCAGACUCCUACGGGAGGCAGCAGUGGGGAAUAUUGCGCAAUGGGCGAAAGCCUGACGCAGCAACGCCGCGUGAGGGAUGACGGCUUUCGGGCUGUAAACCUCUUUCAGGGAUGACGAAAAUGACGGUAGUCCCAGAAGAAGCUCCGGCCAACUACGUGCCAGCAGCCGCGGUAACACGUAGGGAGCAAGCGUUGUCCGGAUUUAUUGGGCGUAAAGAGCUCGUAGGCGGUUUUGUAAGUCGGAUGUGAAAACUCAGGGCUCAACCCUGAGAUGCCAUCCGAUACUGCAAUGACUAGAGUCCGGUAGGGGAGCAUGGAAUUCCUGGUGUAGCGGUGGAAUGCGCAGAUAUCAGGAGGAACACCAAUGGCGAAGGCAGUGCUCUGGGCCGGUACUGACGCUGAGGAGCGAAAGCAUGGGGAGCAAACAGGAUUAGAUACCCUGGUAGUCCAUGCCGUAAACGUUGGGCACUAGGUGUGGGACCUUCUAACGGGUUCCGUGCCGUAGCUAACGCAUUAAGUGCCCCGCCUGGGGAGUACGGCCGCAAGGCUAAAACUCAAAUGAAUUGACGG